rnacentral:hammerhead_ribozyme from 1 species
AUCCAGAUGACGAGUCUCAAAUAGGACGAAAUGCGCAUUGCCCUGGAU